UUUACCUCCCACUCUCCCUCUUCCCAAUCCAAAUUUACCGCGACCAAUUCCAGGCCUUUGCAUUGGUCUGGAUGACAGAGAAGUGAUCUGGGCCAACGUGUCAGAAGAGGGCCGAACUCUUCCUCCCAGGACUAGUUCUUCUCUUCUAAAGACCAAGUUCUCCAAAGCUACUUACUGCCCUGUGUAGAGGCAGGCCUACCACAGAAUCACCCCAGACUGGUACCCUUUGGUCCCAUUGCACUUAGUAAAAUAAAAGGCAUUGUCGGCCCAGGUAUUCCUGCUGCCCCCAUGCACUCCACGCCCCUUCAACAACCACAAGCUUUAUUUGAGGAAGGGAACCUCCAGAUUCACUCAGCGAAGCCAACACGGUAACCGGAUUUGCACUCCUAUCUCAGUUGUCUCCCCACGCCUAAUUUACCAAGCAGGCUUAGGGCCUACAGUGUAACCCACGGGAAGGAGAACAGAGCAGCGGCAGGUCCCCUCACCCGCUGGCGUGUCUGUGGUGACAACUUCCUGUCUUCACGUUAGGCUCUAGUGCUGCCAACCUCCUAGGAAGGGUAACCUGUGGGUGUCAAAGUCGCUGAUAUCCUAAGUGUGACUAAAAAUCGGGCAGGGCUUAUGGAGGGGCGGGCACUGCGGGGCGAGGUGAUAAAGCUCCGGCUACUUAAAGAGGCAGAGUGCUGGUGGGAGGGUCACAGCAAAAUGUUUUGUAUUCUAGAGUUUUAAGGUCAGUUUGCUCUCACUAAUGAGUUUCCAACAUACUUGCCCUUUCAGACCCACCUUUGCCAACGUUUUUAUUCAAACUUCAGUGUGUGCGUGCAUGCACACACACAUUCCCUCUUUCUCACUAACUUCUGAGAAUUACUGCUUUGCAGAAAGUUUAGAGAAAAUACUUUUUCCCUCCUGAGUUUAUUCUUAGCCUACUUCAAGUAGGCAUUUCGUCACCUUCCUUACAAGUCUUGGCACAGCAGAUGAGUGAAGUUCCCUGGCUCUUCCUCAGUUCUUAAUGACUACGGUACUUUGCUCAGUGUCAAUAAAUAUGUGAUUGCUUGGGUGCCUGAGUUAGCUACUCAACAGUUCUACUGCGACAGGUGUCCAGGGCUUAAAAACUCUGUGCAUGCAGAAGACAGGUUUUGUGUUGGUAAAUUAACAAUCGCAGUAUGUUCUCCUGAAUCCUCCCGACGGGCAUCACUUCAACUUUUAAGUGUGGAUUUGAUUACUAAAAAUGGUCAAAAUUCAUUCCAAAUGAAGUCCAGUGUUCCUACAGAGUUAAUACUGGUUUUCCUAAAUGCGACAAAUAAGGUGUGAAACCCCGUAUCAUUGUUAAAGCCGAGCCGGUAAGGGCAUCACCAAGAUCACUUUUCAUUCUUCAUCAAACUGCUAGUGUCACAAUACGAGUCAGGGUACACUGCAGGAUCCCAUCUGGGCUCGUCCGGUCUGCUGACAGUGUGUCACACACCCGGUCUCUCUGGCCAGAGCCCGCAGUGGGCGCAGCAGAGAGAAUGCGGCUUUUCCCGCGGCCUCUAGAGGUCCUACCGACUGCGAUCAGUCAGAACUUUUUCAACCACCAUGCCCAUAGCCUUACUUCCUACGAAAUUAGGAUGGCCCGUUGUGGAUUCAGUGACCCUUUAUGAAUCUCCGAUCCACAGCUCCCUGCUCCAGUAAAGCAGGCUAACUGCUCAUUUCCCGUCCAAGAAUUCACGUUCUUGUUCUAGGAUCUUCUAAACUUGCAGGCACAUUAGAAUCGCGUGGGGGGGGACUUAAAAAAAAACAAAACACCCAGGCUCCACCCCAGGCAAAUUAGACCAUGCCAGGGUGGGCCCUGGCACCAAUUUAUUUUUUAAGGUCCCCGGCUUCAUCUCACGUUCAGCCGAGAUCAAAACAGUGUGCCUGUCUCCGCCUUACAGGAUCACCCUGUGGCAAUGAGCAUCCCGAAUUAGUACUUAUUGGCUAAUAAACAUGGGACUGAUUGAACUAUUCUUGUCCAUUGUUUUUAUCUUGCUGUUUACUCAGUGAGCUUGGCUUGUAGAUAUUGUUUUCCUUACACAAUUUUUUUACAACUACAAUUCAACGCCAAGAACUAACGUAUGUAGACUGCUUUCUGUACUUCCUUGAUUUUGAAUUCAGCCUGUUUAGCCCGGUCUCUCCAGUAAUGUGCCCGCCUUUCUAAUUUGUUACAAUUCCUCAUAUACAUAAAACUGGUUAUCUGGCAUAAGUUGCUGGUAGAAGUGAACGCAUUAUAUAGAUAGGUCUGACACUUUCUGCAUCAAGCUUUGUUUUCAGUCUCUGCUCACACAUACUGUUCUUCCCACUGCUUCCCAAAUUGCCGUCUCGGGCCAGCUUCUCCCCAGCACAGGCAGGCAGACUGGAAGCGAAGAAACAACCGCUGCCUGGCCUUGAACGAAAAGAUGCACCAACAACAUCCAGGAAAUUGUUUAACUGGUCAACAAGUAAUUCUGCAUCGAUGUCAACACUUUCUUAGGCCUGCAGUAUGUUUCAAAGUGCUUUCAAAGACCUUUCCUCAUUUGAGUGACCUAUGUAAAGUUAGUAAAGUGGGCAUUAUCCUCAUACUAGGAAUGAGAAAACCAAAAUGAGAUUCAAACUCUGGCCUCCUGACUUCCUUUCCAAGAACUUUUUCAUUACGAUAAGCCUUAUUCUUAUAAAAGCAUUAUAGAUGCUGGACAUAAAGUAUUUUACAUUACAAACACGGGGAGGAAGAACCCACUUUCCAAAAAGAACCACUGAAUGGCCCCAGCACCCUAGAUCCAUCAUUGUUAUUUUGGUAUGCCUUCUUUUUGUUUUCCUGUGCUUUAAGUAAAAUGCAGUCGAAUGUGUACUGUGUAUUUAAAACAAAAUGUUAUAGUUUUGCUGGAAUUUUGUCAGUUUGUAUGGCUUUGGAGUAAUUAUAAUACGGUUAGAAUAGGAGUCUAAGAAUAAACUCCAAGGUGUUUAUUCUACUGUGUCAGAUGCAAUCUCUCAACAGGGCAGAAUCUGGGGAGAAACCAGACAAGGA